rnacentral:rRNA from 1 species
AAUUCGCCCUUAGAGUUUGAUCCUGGCUCAGAAUCAACGCUGGCGGCGUGCCUCAGACAUGCAAGUCGAACGCGAAAGCCCCCUUCGGGGGGCAAGUAGAGUGGCGCACGGGUGAGUAACACGCAGGUAAUCUACCUUUGGAUGGGGAAUAACAACCGGAAACGGUUGCUAAUACCGCAUAAUGCAGCGGCACCUAAUGGUGACAGUUGUUAAAGCGGGGGAUCGCAAGACCUCGCGUCUGAAGAGGAGCCUGCGGCGGAUUAGCUGGUUGGUAGGGUAACGGCUUACCAAGGCGAUGAUCCGUAGCCGGCCUGAGAGGGCGGUCGGCCACACUGACACUGACAUACGGGUCAGACUCCUACGGGAGGCAGCAGUCGGGAAUUUUGGGCAAUGGGCGAAAGCCUGACCCAGCAACGCCGCGUGAAGGAUGAAAUCCCUCGGGAUGUAAACUUCGCAAGAACGGGAAGAAUAAGUCCGUGCUAACACCACGGAUGAUGACGGUACUGUUUGUAAGCUCCGGCUAACUCCGUGCCAGCAGCCGCGGUAAUACGGGGGGAGCAAGCGUUGUUCGGAUUUACUGGGCGUAAAGGGCGCGUAGGCGGCCACCGCAAGUCAGUUGUGAAAGCUCUGGGCUUAACCCAGAAAGGUCAACUGAUACUGCGGGGCUAGAGUGCAGAAGGGGCAACUGGAAUUC